GAUUAACGCUAGCGGCAGGCCUAAUACAUGCAAGUCGAACGGGAUUCCCGCAGCAAUGCGGGAUGAGAGUGGCGCACGGGUGCGUAACACGUAUGCAACCUACCUGUAACUGGGGGAUAGCCUCCCGAAAGGGAGAUUAAUACCGCAUAACAUUAUGAGGGGGCAUCUCUUUGUAAUCAAACCUCCGGGGGUUACAGAUGGGCAUGCGUCCGAUUAGCUAGUUGGCGGGGUAACGGCCCACCAAGGCGACGAUCGGUAGGGGGUCUGAGAGGAUGAUCCCCCACACUGGUACUGAGACACGGACCAGACUCCUACGGGAGGCAGCAGUAAGGAAUAUUGGACAAUGGGCGCAAGCCUGAUCCAGCCAUGCCGCGUGCAGGAUGACGGCCCUAUGGGUUGUAAACUGCUUUUAUACGGGAAGAAACCCCGAUUGCGAUCGGGGUUGACGGUACUGUAAGAAUAAGGGUCGGCUAACUCCGUGCCAGCAGCCGCGGUAAUACGGAGGACCCG
rnacentral:rRNA from 1 species